rnacentral:rRNA from 1 species
CUCGCCUGCCCAGUGACUCUUUUAAACGGCCGCGGUAUCCUAACCGUGCAAAGGUAGCAUAAUCACUUGUCUCUUAAAUAGAGACUAGAAUGAAUGGCUAAAUGAGGACUAAUCUGUCUCUUACGGACAACCAAUGAAAUUAAUCUUUCAGUACAAAAGCUGAAAUAAAAACAUAAGACGAGAAGACCCUGUGGAGCUUCAAACCAAACACACCCUGCAUGCUCCUCAGGUUUUUAGUUGGGGCGACUUCGGAGCACAAUAAAACCUCCAAAAUUUUAUCUUCAAGAUUAACAAACCAAAAACUUUAUUAGACCCAGCAAUGUAUGACAUUGUCUGAUCACUGAACCAAGUUACCCCAGGGAUAACAGCGCCAUCCCCUCCUAGAGUUCAUAUCGACAAGGGGGUUUACGACCUCGAUGUUGGAUCAGGACACCCCAAUGGUGCAGCCGCCAUUAAAG